rnacentral:lncRNA from 1 species
CUGAUUGGUUAACUUCUCUCUCAUCUGAUUGGUUAAUUUUGGUUAAUUCUCAAAACCUUAUCUUGGCAAAAAGAACUUUACUGCCUAUGUAUGCGUGGUGGCCAUCGGUAGCCAGCUCCACCCUGCAACGGCACAUGUGGCUUCCCACAGGGGUUCUCCAACAGGCAAAUAUGAAUCUAGGUGCUUCUGGAAAGGUCCUCCGUGUACUGCUUAAUCUCUCCAGCCAAUAGACAUCAACAGUCUAAACAACGGGAAAGUCUCGAGGUCCCGAGAGCAGAACUGAAAUUCGUCGGAGGAAGAGGUACAGACACAGAGCUUUAGAUCCAGCACCAUGUCUGCCUGCAUGAUGAUGAUGGACUGAGCCUCUGAGAUUGUAAGCCAGCCCCAAUUAAAUGCCUUGGUCAUGGUGUUUUUUUUCACAGCAAAAGAACUCUAAUUAAAAUAAACCCUGUAUAUGAGAGAUAGAAAGAGAUAGAAAGAGAGAGAGAGACAGAGAGACAGAACAUGGAAGAGGAAGUGUAAGUAUCUCAGGAUGGUCUUGACCUGCCAGCCACCCAGGUCUGUGUUCUCUCCACAAAAUCAAGGCAGCUCUAAGCCACUGGA